rnacentral:rRNA from 1 species
ACUCCAGACUCCUACGGGAGGCAGCAGUGGGGGAUAUUGCACAAUGGGGGGAACCCUGAUGCAGCGACGCCGCGUGAAGGAAGAAGUAUCUCGGUAUGUAAACUUCUAUCAGCAGGGAAGAAAAUGACGGUACCUGACUAAGAAGCCCCGGCUAACUACGUGCCAGCAGCCGCGGUAAUACGUAGGGGGCAAGCGUUAUCCGGAUUUACUGGGUGUAAAGGGAGCGUAGGCGGCAGUGCAAGUCAGAAGUGAAAGCCCGGGGCUCAACUCCGGGACUGCUUUGGAAACUGUAAAACUGGAGUGCAGGAGAGGUAAGCGGAAUUCCUAGUGUAGCGGUGAAAUGCGUAGAUAUUAGGAGGAACACCAGUGGCGAAGGCGGCGUACUGGACUGUAACUGACGUUGAGGCUCGAAGGCGUGGGGAGCAAACAGGAUUAGAUACCCGUGUACAU